rnacentral:snoRNA from 1 species
GCUCUGUGAUGAACCCCAUGCGUGUCAUCUGAGCCUGGCUUCCCUGCUGUCUCAGCCCAGGUAGUGUUCUACUCCCAGGGCUGCUGUCUGACCUAGCAGGGAUUCUGGGUAAAAGAUCAGUCUUUGUUUUCUGAGAGC